GAUGAAGAACGUAGCGAAAUGCGAUAAGUAAUGUGAAUUGCAGAAUUCAGUGAAUCAUCGAGUUUUUGAACGCACAUUGCGCCCCCUGGAAUUCCGGGGGGCAUGCCUGUUCGAGCGUCUCAGGGACGAACCCUCGCGCGGGUGUACGCGCGGUCGUGGCUGCGGUGGCGUGCCCGAGGCGGCGGCCACCGCGCUGGAAUCCAUGGGCGGACGCCUGCCGCGUGGCCGAGCGUGAUAUGACGCAUUGGCGCUCGCACGCGGCGAGGCUGCCAGCCCUGGCCCGUCUGUCGGGCGGGGGAGAGCAAGACACGUGAACUCCUCGAAUCAGGUAGGGAUACCCGCUGAACUUAAGCAUAUCAAUAAGCGGAGGA
rnacentral:misc_RNA from 1 species